UUUAAACUUUAUUGGACUACACCCUGAUUUUUUGUGGGAAAAUACCACCUGGACGCUGUGUAGUGAGCAAUACCCUCAUUUGUUCCAUAAGUGAACGACAAGCCAGUGAGCCCAUACGGCAGGGCUGAUAUCAUCCUGACCUUCUGUAUCCAGCUGAAGAUGCCACAUAACCUUAGGUAGGGAUUAUACCGUCCAGGUGCAACCUGAUAGAACUAUGCUAGCUCUACAAACUGUGAGUGCAAAUCCUUUUUUCUUAUUUUCAAUUGUCACAUGAUAAACUACACUAUAUCUUUCUAUAUUUUCUGUAUCCACAUAUUCUACUACUUCUGGAAACACUUCUACCUCAAGAAAUACAUCAAAGCACUGCCCCCUCUUCUUACCGGUUUGUACAUUUUAUUGGACCUGAUUGAGAGACUCUGGUUUGGGUGCUGUGGCUGCCAACCUGUUUAAAUAGAGCUUGAGACCAAGCUCAUAUAUAUUCCGAGACAUGAGUAUAAGGCUAAUGUGAGUAUGGCUCGUUAGAUAGGAGUAUAAGACUUAUGUGAGUGUGGCCAAUUAGAUACGAAUAUAAGGCUAUGUGAGUGCGGCUAGCUAGAUAGAAUUAUAAGGCUAAUGUGAGUGUUGCUAGUCAGAUCUGAGUAUGAGGCUAAUGUGUGUGAGGUUGAGGCUAGUCAGAUAUGAGUAUGAGGCUAAUGUGUGUGAGGUUGAGGCUAGUUAGAUAUGCACCUGAGGCAAAUUACAGCUGUAUGAGAGCACGGCUAGUUAAAGGGACACUUCCGACACCAAAACAACUUAAGCUAAAUUAGGUUGUUAUGGUACCAGGAGGACCCCGGAGGCCCUCUUACCUCAAUGAUUUAACCCCAUAGUGCCACCAAUCUCAGCCAAUCAGUGACUCCCCAUUUACAGAACUGGCUUGGCCAGAAACGUACCUUUUCCAAUCCAGUUCUAUGGAUGGGGAAUCAUUGAUAUGAGUUCAUCAGCUGACCGCUCUCAUAUAAUCAGCGCAGCCCCUGCCCUACGGUAAUCCGCUCUUCCUCAAAGGAAAAUUUCAGAAGCCGGAUGCCGCCAGGGGAAUGCCGAGUUUGCUGCAGGAGUAAACUUUGGGGUUAAGUCGUUCGAGAACGGUUAACCCCUUGAGGUAAGAGUGCCUCCGGGAGCCUCCAGGCACCUUGAG